AAUGAGUGUUGCUUCUUAUGUUUAGGAUCUAGAGUGUAACUUGUUAACUAUCGGCUGAAUUUUAACAUGAUUAUUUUAGACCUUCUUCAGGAACAAUUUUUAAUGAUGCUUUCUGGCUGGAUUUAAAUUAUCUAGAAGUUGCCAAGGUAGCUCAGUCUUGUGCUGCUCACUUUACAGCUUUACUCUAUGCAGAAAUCUAUGCAGAUAAGAAAAGCAUGGAUGAUCAAGAGAAAAGAAGUCUUGCAUUUGAAGAAGGAAGCCAGAGUACAACUAUUUCUAGCUUGAGUGAAAAAAGUAGAGAAGAAACUGGAAUAAGUUUACAGGAUCUUCUCUUAGAAAUCUACAGAAGUAUAGGGGAGCCAGAUAGUUUGUAUGGCUGUGGUGGAGGGAAGAUGUUACAACCCAUUACUAGACUACGAACAUAUGAACACGAAGCAAUGUGGGGCAAAGCCCUAGUAACAUAUGACCUCGAAACAGCAAUCCCCUCAUCAACACGCCAGGCAGGAAUCAUUCAGGCCUUGCAGAAUUUGGGACUCUGCCAUAUUCUUGCCGUCUAUUUAAAAGGAUUGGAUUAUGAAAAUAAAGACUGGUGUCCUGAACUAGAAGAACU
rnacentral:sRNA from 1 species